GAGGAUGCGAUUGUUGGCUAACUUCUCGGACUAAAGGAUUCCGCACCCUCGAAUCUGAUGCUACUUAAUUAAGUUGAACGGACCAAAGGGUGAGUGCUAGCAUAUGUACGAAUAGAAUGGGGUGCACCGCCACCCACUGUCCUUCAAGCUCCACCCACCACCCACUUGCAGCCCUCCUACACUUUGCCACAUAUGUGUGACAGUUAAUGAACUUUCGUCACUCUUACGCUUUUGUUUUCGCUAAUCAAAGACACAUGCGGCAUGUGAGCGGCAUACGCAAUAAGGCGAUGGAGUGCAGUCAAUUAAUUGAUGGAUGAUGUGCAUAAUGAAAAGCGUAGGGGGAAGUGUCAAAGCAUCGUUUGCCCCUCUUUGGGCAUUUAACAACAUUAGAGCUGCAACAAAACUUAAACAUCAGAGUACUUUUUUCACAUUCUUUAAUCAAGCCUAUACAAAACUUCACUGAAAUACACGUAUGUUUCCUUUGUACCUAUCAAAAUUUUUUGCCCCCUAUUCAAUGGCAGAAGCUCAUCAAGGAACUCCGCCCAUCGAAUGCCGGUCCAUUCAGUCGAAGGUUGCACAUCCGGGUGUAUUGAUUGCUUUAACAAAUCUGAGGCUCGUGUAAUUUCAUUACAAAACCCCCGAAUGGGCUUCAGCAUGGGAUUACCACAAAAGCAUUUUUCGAGUCGAGUCGAAGUCUAUAUAUUCCCCUAAGUGAGGAGAGCUGGGCCAAUGUCUGGUCUGGUCUGGUCGGGUUUUCCAGAUGCUUUUUCCUUGCCGCCCUCGUUGUCUUCAUUCUUUAUGCAUUACAUGCGAACUUCGUGGGUGAGUGACUGACACCGGUCUUGGUUUCCUAGGCAGUCAACGGUCCAUCAAUCAGUCAAUCAGCCAGUCAGCCAGUCCGUCGGUGAGUCAGUCACUCCUUUGGCAGACGUCAUAGCCUGUCAGAAAUGUUUGGUAUGUAUGUUGCUGCCUUGCUGUUUUCUGUCUUGGAGCCCGUUUCAAAAAGUGAAAGCGAAGGGUUGUCUGUCUGGAGGUCUGGGUGUCCCAAGGGCCGUGGAUUCUGAGUGCCUCCAUGACUCCAACGAUCCAGCAACAAUUCAUUAAACGCAUAAAGCAAUAAAAUGUUCUCUCGAUAGGCAAAACAAAGACCAUCCCAAAUGAAACCCCAUAGAAAAAGGCUUCGAACUGUCUGACAGCUUGACGUCGCCUGCUAAUGGCAGAGAAAAAACCCAAAUAAAGGAAGGCAUCUUCUACCCGAAUUGAUACACCCGAGUCCUUGCAAGUUGGUCCCAGUGAUUGGGAACACCUAAAACUGCUAGAAGGCUAUAAUGAAAGCCAAACACCCACUAUAGUUCCUAUGGCCGCGCUUGAAAUUUGCUUUGAUUACGCAAAUGUCACAGCUGAGAAGGCAAAAUUUGUUUAAAUUGCCAUCGUGAUUGGGAUAGGCACCUGCUCUCAUCUAUGUUUGCAGAAACUUGGGAAUAAAUGCAUUAAUAUACGCCCGCUUUAAAAAAAUAAAAUUUCAUUGAUAAGCUCGUUUAAAGAUGAAA